CAGAGGGCAGCUACCCAGCAAUGGGAUGCGAAUCUCGAAAGCCUGUCUCAGUUCGGAUUGGAGGCUGAAACCCGCCUCCAUGAAGUUGGAUUCGCUAGUAAUCGCGCAUCAGCCAUGGCGCGGUGAAUACGUUCCCGGGCCUUGUACACACCGCCCGUCAAGCCAUGGGAGCCGGGGGUGCCUGAAGUUCGUGACCGCAAGGAGCGACCUAGGGCAAAACUGGUGACUGGGGCUAAGUCGUAACAAGGUAGC
rnacentral:rRNA from 1 species